rnacentral:rRNA from 1 species
GACGAAGGGGGCUAGCGUUGUUCGGCAUUACUGGGCGUAAAGCGUGUGUAGGUGGUUGUCGUAGUCAGGUGUGCAAGCCUUGAGCUCAACUCAAGAAAUGCACUUGAUACUGGGCAGCUAGAGGACCGGAGAGGAUAGUGGAAUUCCCAGUGUAGUGGUGAAAGACGGAGAGAUUGGGAAGAACACCAGUGGCGAAGGCGGCUAUCUGGACGGUUUCUGACACUAAGACACGAAAGCGUGGGGAGCAAACAGG